rnacentral:rRNA from 1 species
UGCAGUCGACGGCAGCACGGGGGCAACCCUGGUGGCGAGUGGCGAACGGGUGAGUAAUACAUCGGAACGUGUCCUGUAGUGGGGGAUAGCCCGGCGAAAGCCGGAUUAAUACCGCAUACGCUCUACGGAGGAAAGGGGGGGAUCUCAGGACCUCCCGCUACAGGGGCGGCCGAUGGCAGAUUAGCUAGUUGGUGGGGUAAAGGCCUACCAAGGCGACGAUCUGUAGCUGGUCUGAGAGGACGACCAGCCACACUGGGACUGAGACACGGCCCAGACUCCUACGGGAGGCAGCAGUGGGGAAUUUUGGACAAUGGGCGAAAGCCUGAUCCAGCAAUGCCGCGUGUGUGAAGAAGGCCUUCGGGUUGUAAAGCACUUUUGUCCGGAAAGAAAACCUCCGCCCUAAUAUGGUGGGGGGAUGACGGUACCGGAAGAAUAAGCACCGGCUAACUACGUGCCAGCAGCCGCGGUAAUACGUAGGGUGCAAGCGUUAAUCGGAAUUACUGGGCGUAAAGCGUGCGCAGGCGGUCCGCUAAGACAGAUGUGAAAUCCCCGGGCUUAACCUGGGAACUGCAUUUGUGACUGGCGGGCUAGAGUAUGGCAGAGGGGGGUAGAAUUCCACGUGUAGCAGUGAAAUGCGUAGAGAUGUGGAGGAAUACCGAUGGCGAAGGCAGCCCCCUGGGCCAAUACUGACGCUCAUGCACGAAAGCGUGGGGAGCAAACAGGAUUAGAUACCCUGGUAGUCCACGCCCUAAACGAUGUCAACUAGUUGUUGGGGAUUCAUUUCCUUAGUAACGUAGCUAACGCGUGAAGUUGACCGCCUGGGGAGUACGGUCGCAAGAUUAAAACUCAAAGGAAUUGACGGGGACCCGCACAAGCGGUGGAUGAUGUGGAUUAAUUCGAUGCAACGCGAAAAACCUUACCUACCCUUGACAUGUAUGGAACCCUGCUGAGAGGUGGGGGUGCCCGAAAGGGAGCCAUA